GCUGGGCACGGUGGCGCGUGCCUCUAAUCCAAGUCACUGGGAGGUUGAGGUUGGCGGUUCGAUUGAGCUGAGGAGCUCUGCGUGCCUCCAUGCUAAGUUCGGUAAUCCAAGUCACUGGGAGGCUGAGGUUGGCGGUUUGCAUCCGAUUGAGCUGAGGAGCUCUGCACUGAGGUUGACAUUUUAUUUAUUGGACUAUGUUGAACGGGUGUCCAUGCUAAGUUCGGUAUCGAUUUUCUUUAAAAUGGUGGUUCUGGGGCUGUGUCGGCGAUGCCUUGGAACCACCAGGUCGUCUCACUGGGAGGAGGGGUGGUUAUUGGGCCCAGGUCGCACUUUACCGGAACGGAGCAGGUCAAAGCCCCGUGGUGGUUCUGGGGAGCCUUGGACCAGUAGUGGGUUUGCAUCCGUGAAUAGACGUUACAGUGCAGCCUUGGCAAAACAGCGGUACCUAAUCUUUU
ensembl:misc_RNA Metazoa_SRP Metazoan signal recognition particle RNA